GACGAACGCUGGCGGCGUGCUUAACACAUGCAAGUCGAACGGAAAGGCCCUGCUUUUUUGGGGUGCUCGAGUUGCGAACGGGUGAGUAACACGUGAGUAACCUGCCCUUGACUUUGGGAUAACUUCAUGAAACUUGGUCUAAUACCGGAUAGGAUCUCCUGCUGCAUGGUGGGGGUUGGAAAGUUUCGGCGGUUGGGGAUGGACUCGCGGCUUAUCAGCUUGUUGGUGGGGUAGUGGCUUACCAAGGCUUUGACGGGUAGCCGGCCUGAGAGGGUGACCGGACAAACUGGGCCUGAGAUAAGGCACAGCCUCGUACGGGAGGCAGGAGUGGGGAAUAGUGCACAAUGGGAGGAAGCAUGAUGCAGCACCGCAGCGUGCGGGAUGACGGCCUUGGGGUUGUAAACCGAUUUCGCCUGUGACGAAGCGUGAGUGACGGUAAUGGGUAAAGAAGCACCGGCUAACUACGUG
rnacentral:rRNA from 1 species